UCACUUACGGAAAUAUUUGACAUAAAUUAAUCAAUGAUUAUACAAUAUUGUUUUGUCUACAAUUUUUUUAUUAGGAUAAUGCCUCAACAAAUACUAAUGGCCAUUGGCAUGUGUAAUGUGUGUAAAAAUGUCGACGUCAUCGUCUUUACAAAGAGACGCUAAUUGUAUCCGAACAAUGCAUUAUUUGCGUUAUUAUAAAAAUUAAAUUUGCCAGAAAGUGAAUAAAACUUAAAUUGUUUUUAGAUACGCCCCACAUAACAUACUAGAGCUUAGGUUAUCUAUGUAUUAUGUCAAAACUAGUAUAAUCCCCCAGUAAACACUUUGAGUCAUUUUGAACCUCGUUUAACUUUCAACCAUUCGUAUAACGUCACGGUUUCAAGCAUAAAAAAUGUAUAUUUGUAUUGUUAAGACACUGUGACGUUAUACAAUCAUGAUUGAAAGUCAAACAAGGCCCAAAAUGUGUACUGAGAGGGGGUGGGGCCACUUUUCUAAACAAAACCGCGUGAUUCAUCGUAUUUCCGUGGUUACAAAACUCGUUUUCAAUUGUUUGCAGAUUUUCUUAAAAUCCGGCAAACGCGCAUCUGUCGCCAUUUAAUACAUCACUGCUGCCAUCUACUAAAUGACACGUGAACUCAUCUUCUCAUCUAUUAAGUGACAGCGGAACUAAUUUAUCACUAGAAAAA
rnacentral:lncRNA from 1 species